GCGGACAUGUGGCUUAUUCGACGCAACGCGAAGAACCUUACCAAGGCUUGACAUAUACCGGAAAGCAUCAAAGAUGGUGCCCCCCUUGUGGUCGGUAUACAGGUGGUGCAUGGCUGUCGUCAGCUCGUGUCAUGAGAUGUUGGGUUAAGUCCCGCAACGAGCGCAACCCUUGUUCUGUGUUGCCAGCAUGCCCUUCGGGGUGAUGGGGACUCACAGGAGACUGCCGGGGUCAACUCGG
rnacentral:rRNA from 1 species